rnacentral:rRNA from 1 species
GCUGGCGGUAUGCUUAAGACAUGCAAGUCGUGCGGUAGAAGGCUUCGGCCUUUGAGAGCGGCGGACGGGUGAGUAACACGUGGGAAUCUGCCUAUUAGUGGGGGACAGCCCAGCGAAAGCUGGAUUAAUACCGCAUACGCCCUACGGGGGAAAGCAGCAAUGCGCUAAUAGAUGAGCCCGCGUAAGAUUAGCUAGUUGGUAAGGUAAAGGCUUACCAAGGCGACGAUCUUUAGCUGGUCUGAGAGGAUGGCCAGCCACAUCGGGACUGAGACACGGCCCGGACUCCUACGGGAGGCAGCAGUCGGGAAUAUUGGACAAUGGGCGCAGGCCUGAUCCAGCAAUACCGCGUGUGUGAAGAAGGCCUGCGGGUUGUAAAGCACUUUCAGUUGGGAAGAUAAUGACGUUACCAACAGAAGAAGCACCGGCUAACUCCGUGCCAGCAGCCGCGGUAAUACGGAGGGUGCAAGCGUUAAUCGGAAUUACUGGGCGUAAAGCGUGCGUAGGCGGCCUGUUAAGUCAGAUGUGAAAGCCCCGGGCUUAACCUGGGAACUGCAUCUGAUACUGGGAGGCUAGAAUGUGGGAGAGGAGAGUGGAAUUUCCGGUGUAGCGGUGAAAUGCAUAGAGAUCGGAAGGAACACCAGUGGCGAAGGCGGCUCUCUGGACCAACAUUGACGCUGAGGCACGAAAGCGUGGGUAGCAAACAGGAUUAGAUACCCUGGUAGUCCACGCCGUAAACGAUGUCAACUAGCCGCCGGCCUCACUCUAGAGGUCGGUGGUGCAGCUAACGCAUUAAGUUGACCGCCUGGGGAGUAC